AAAGCGUCCGCAGGCGGCCUUGAAAGUCUGUUGUUAAAGCGUGGAGCUCAACUCCAUUUCAGCAAUGGAAACUACAAGGCUAGAGUGUGGUAGGGGCAGAGGGAAUUCCCGGUGUAGCGGUGAAAUGCGUAGAUAUCGGGAAGAACACCAGUGGCGAAGGCGCUCUGCUGGGCCAUAACUGACGCUCAUGGACGAAAGCCAGGGGAGCGAAAGGGAUUAGAUACCCCUGU
rnacentral:rRNA from 1 species